GAGCACGCGCGUGUGGCAUAUCAAUAAGCGGAGGAAAAGAAACUAACAAGGAUUCCCUUAGUAACGGCGAGUGAAGCGGGAAGAGCUCAAAUUUGAAAUCUUCAAGGUUCUACCUUGACGAAUUGUAGUUUAUAGAAGUGUUUUCUGUUAGUGGAGUGGCAAAAGUUCUUUGGAAUAGGACAUCAUAGAGGGUGAGAAUCCCGUAUUUGGUCAUUCCUCCUAGCGUUGUGAUACACUUUCAACGAGUCGGAUUGUUUGGGAAUGCAGUCCAAAAUGGGUGGUAAAUUUCAUCUAAAGCUAAAUAUUGGCGAGAGACCGAUAGCGAACAAGUACCGUGAGGGAAAGAUGAAAAGAACUUUGAAAAGAGAGUUAAACAGUACGUGAAAUUGUCAAAAGGGAAGCGUUUGACACCAGUGUUGUUUUUCCGAAAAUCAAUUACGAAUGUUUUAUUUUUGAGGAGUUAUGACUUCAUCGGCUUGCUCCUUUCUUUAUGAAACUUUCUUAAUGCACUUUUCGGUUAACAAGUCAACAUCAAUUUCUUUUGUUGUAAAAGGGUAUGAGGAAGGUGGCUUUCUUUUCGGAGAAAGUGUUUAUAGCCUUGUGCCUCUGCAAUCGGAGAGAUUGAGGUCUGCAGCGUAGAUCCUUCGGGGUUAGAUACGUUUGUGCUAAGUUAUAGCCUUUCAUAGACAACUUGUUGACUAUGUUUAGUCUUGUAGCUUACUCGCUUACUGCUAUUAUACCUACGCUUAGGAUGUUGAACUCUAUCACACACAG
rnacentral:rRNA from 1 species